CAAUAGCGUAUAUUAAAGUUGUUGCGGUUAAAAGCUCGUAGUUGGAUUUCUGCUGAGGACGACCGGUCCGCCUCUGGGUGAGUAUCUGGCUUGGCCUUGGCAUCUUCUUGGAGAACGUAGCUGCACUUGACUGUGUGGUGCGGUAUCCAGGACUUUUACUUUUGAGGAAAUUAGAGUGUUUCAAGCAGGCACACGCCUUGAAUACAUUAGCAUGGAAUAAUAAGAUAGGACCUUGGUUCUAUUUUGUUGGUUUCUAGAGCUGAGGUAAUGAUUAAUAGGGAUAGUUGGGGGUAUUCGUAUUCAAUUGUCAGAGGGUGAAAAUUCUUGGAUUUAUGGAAGACGAACUACUGCGAAAGCAUUUACCAAGGAUGUUUUUUCAUUAAUCAAGAACGAAAGUUAGGGGAUCGAAGACGAUUAGAU
rnacentral:rRNA from 1 species